UUCCCCUUCCAUUUUUCUUUUAUUCCUUUGUCUUUCUCUUUUCCAUUUCUAAAAAUUAGGAUAAUAUUCUUUUGCUGGAAUAUUCCCUUUGUGCAGAUCCACUGACACUCUGAUUAUUUCACCCAGCUUCAAGAUGCUAUGGAGGAGCCCCACAGUCAGGAUUCAUUUGGCAGAAAGGUUGAUGCUGUUCCAGAGUUGUGUGCAGGAUUGGAGUGAGAGUCCAGUUAUGGUAUAUUGACCUGAGGUAUUCAGCAGCAAGACAGCAAGAAGAUCCAGGAUUGACUUGUGAGAAGGAAGAGGGGAAGGUGGAUUCCUUGGAAGUUGCCUUUUUAAAGUUCAACAUUUCUCAUCUAACGAAAGCAGCCUUCAUCACCAGAACUUCUGUUCAAACAUAUGUGGAGAUCAAAAAAAGCGAACAAACUCUCAAAGGGAGAAAAAUUCAUAGUAGGAAAAGCCUGGAGCAUACCUUCUGGAAACCUGAGAGGACAGGUGAUUCCCCUUAGGGGAAUCCCCUGUUGGAGCCAAAUGGAAAUACUCAUGGACACCAAGG
rnacentral:lncRNA from 1 species